rnacentral:rRNA from 1 species
CCUACGGGGGGCAGCAGUUGAGAAUCUUUCACAAUGGGGGAAACCCUGAUGGUGCGACGCCGCGUGGGGGAAUGAAGGUCUUCGGAUUGUAAACCCCUGUCAUGUGGGAGCAAAUUAAAAAGAUAGUACCACAAGAGGAAGAGACGGCUAACUCUGUGCCAGCAGCCGCGGUAAUACAGAGGUCUCAAGCGUUGUUCGGAAUCACUGGGCGUAAAGGGUGCGUAGGCGUGUUCGUAAGUCGUGUGUGAAAGGCGCGGGCUCAACCCGCGGACGGGACCUGAUACUGCGAGACUAGAGUAAUGGAGGGGGAACCGGAAUUCUCGGUGUAGCAGUGAAAUGCGUAGAUAUCGAGAGGAACACUCGUGGCGAAGGCGGGUUCCUGGACAUUAACUGACGCUGAGGCACGAAGGCCAGGGGAGCGAAAGGGAUUAGAUACCCUUGUAGUC